ensembl:lncRNA
GGAGUGGGUGUGCUUUCCAAGCCGUGCACCUUCAUCAAUCUUAACAGCUAAGACUGUACUUUGGGAAUCCCAAACCCUGGAGACGAGAGAUGGAAAAAGGAAGACUCCUUUGCUCAGAGACUGUCUACACAAAUUCAAGGCAUACACAUCCAGGAACCCCAAGGGAGUGCACCCAUGAGUGCUGAGGGAGCUGGCAGAAGAGAUUGCCAAGUCAUUCUCUAACAUCUGUGAAAGCUCAUGGAGAAAAGGGGAAGUGCUUGAGGACUAGAGGAAAGCCAGUGUCACUCCAGUCCUCACAAAGGGCAAGAAGGAGGACCUGGAAAACUACAGGCCUGCCAGCCUCUCCUCUGUCUCUGUGAGAGACAUGAAGAGGGUGAAGAGUUGUUUGUUUGCCA